AACGAACGCUGGCGGCAGGCCUAACACAUGCAAGUCGAGCGAGGACUUCGGUCCUAGCGGCGGACGGGGGAGUAACGCGUGGGAACGUGCCCUUUGCUUCGGAAUAGCCCUGGGAAACUGGGAGUAAUACCGGAUGAGCCCUUUGGGGGAAAGAUUUAUCGGCGAAGGAUCGGCCCGCGUUGGAUUAGGUGGUUGGUGGGGUAAUGGCCUACCAAGCCGACGAUCCAUAGCUGGUUUGAGAGGAUGAUCAGCCACACUGGGACUGAGACACGGCCCAGACUCCUACGGGAGGCAGCAGUAGGGAAUCUUAGACAAUGGGGGAAGCCCUGAUCUCGCCAUGCCGCGUGAGCGAUGAAGGCCUUAGGGUUGUAAAGCUCUUUCAGCUGGGAAGAUAAUGACGGUACCAGCAGAAGAAGCCCCGGCUAACUCCGUG
rnacentral:rRNA from 1 species